rnacentral:misc_RNA from 1 species
AACGCACAUUGCGCCCUCUGGUAUUCCGGAGGGCAUGCCUGUCCGAGCGUCAUUGCUGCCCUCAAGCACGGCUUGUGUGUUGGGCCCCCGUCCCCCCCUCUGCCGGGGGGACGGGCCCGAAAGGCAGCGGCGGCACCGCGUCCGGUCCUCGAGCGUAUGGGGCUUCGUCACCCGCUCUUGUAGGCCCGGCCGGCGCCAGCUGACCCCAACCCUAAAUUUUUUUCAGGUUGACCUCGGAUCAGGUAGGGAUACCCGCUGAACUUAA